AACGAACGCUGGCGGCAUGCCUAACACAUGCAAGUCGAACGAAGCCUUCGGGCUUAGUGGCGCACGGGUGCGUAACGCGUGGGAGUCUGCCCUUGGGUUCGGAAUAACAGUUAGAAAGGACAGCUAAUACCGGAUGAUGUCUUCGGACCAAAGAUUUAUCGCCCAAGGAGGAGCCCGCGUAGGAUUAGGUAGUUGGUGGGGUAAUGGCCCACCAAGCCGACGAUCCUUAGCUGGUCUGAGAGGAUGAUCAGCCACACUGGGACUGAGACACGGCCCAGACUCCUACGGGAGGCAGCAGUGGGGAAUAUUGGACAAUGGGCGAAAGCCUGAUCCAGCAAUGCCGCGUGAGUGAUGAAGGCCUUAGGGUUGUAAAGCUCUUUUACCAGGGAUGAUAAUGACAGUACCUGGAGAAUAAGCUCCGGCUAACUCCGUGCCAGCCGCCGCCGUAA
rnacentral:rRNA from 1 species